AACACGUUUUCUGAACCAAUUGACACGUUUUUUAACGGUGUCAUUUAGGUGUUGAAUAAAACCAACGUGUCAAACACGUUUGUGGAACGUUUUCUUUGACACGUUUGCAAAAACACCUUUUAAAAGCGUUCAAUACACGUUUAGGUUUAGUGUCAAAUGACACGUGAAAAUACCAACGCAUCUGACACGAAAUCUGAACGUACAAAUUUGGUGUCAAAAGACACGUUUCUUAAAACACUGAUCUGACACCAAAUUCGAACAUGCAGUUUUGGUGUCAAAAGACACGUUUUUUAAAACACUGAUCUGACACGAAAUCUGAAAGUACAGAUUUGGUGUCAAAAGACACGUUUUUAAAACACUGAUCUGACACGAAAUCUGAACGUACAAAUUUGGUGUCAAAAGACACGUUUCUUAAAACACUGAUCUAGCACUGAAGUCCAAGUUGUUUUUGUCUGAACUGGAUGCAGCUGUGCAGCUCGCGCUUGGCCGGUUGCUAGGCUACCGCUCUGAUUAACUGAAAAUUCACUUCUUUUGCCUGACCUGACAGACCUUCACCCUCUUGAUUUCACCGUAAACUUUUACUAUUUUAUCCUUCAUCUUUCAUAUUUUCACCUUCUUUGACUUUACCCGCAUCCUCUUUACUACCAACUAUCAACCCUCCUUUUGACAAUUUCUCUUUCUGGAUCUACAACGUGAAACUUCAAACGUGAAACUCCGGUGAAGCCAACGCAAGCGUCCUCUUCAACAUUGUCAACAGAAAGCCCAGACACAGACUGCACUCCAGCCCCUUAAGUCCAAGUGGCAGCUUGUUUUUAAAAAAAUAAAUACAUGCAUUACA